rnacentral:rRNA from 1 species
CACCGCGGUCAUACGAGUGGCCCAAGUGGACAGCCAACGGCGUAAAGCGUGGUUAAGGACCCCCCCCCCGAUUAAAGCAGAACCCCCUCAAGGCCGUCAUACGCAUCCGACAGGGUGAAGCCCCACCUCGAAAGUGACUUUACCCCCCCCCCGAACCCACGACAGCUAUGGCA